rnacentral:lncRNA from 1 species
AUGCAGAAGGUCUCUCUAAAGUGCCAAAGUUAUAAAAUUCCACUGGAAGUAAAUUCGCAGACUUUCCAAGAAUCAGUCACCCCCUGCAGCACAGGCAGAGACGGAGGGGUUGCGGGGGGGCAACUCUUUCCCUGGGAAGGAGUCCUCAUGUCCUGUGCUGCCCCUUGCAUCCCAACAAGCUGCUUCCUGGCUCUGCGCAGGUCAAGGUCCAGGGACUUCUCUUCAUUGUCAUCCUGGGGAUUCCUUGAAUGAAUUUGUUCCUUCCUUACAAUUACAUGUAAAUAAUGAUCAGCUGGGCAAAGAAUACUAGGCUGAAAAUUGUUUUCCUUCCAUGGUUAACAUUGCCCCCCUGGCUUCCAGCUUCCAGUGCUGCCCUCAAGAAGGCCAUGCAUUCUUAUCCUUAAUCCUUGGAUGGAAUCUAAUUUUUCUCUGGAAGCUUUAAGACUUGCUUUCUCCUUGGUGAUUUAAAAAUGAUGUAUUUGGAAGUUCCCUUCAUGGCUUAGCAGUUAAUGAACCCAACUAGGAUCCAUGAGGAUGUGGGUUCAAUCCCUGGCCUUGCUUGGUAGGCUAAGGAUCUUGCAUUGCUGUGGCUAUGGUUGCGGCUGGCAGCUGUAGCUCCAAUUCGACCCCUAGCCUGGGAACUUCCAUAUGCCGUGGGUGCGGCCCUAAAAAGCAAACAAAACAAAACAAAACAAAACAAAACAAAACAAAACAAACGUGUUUCACUGUAGUAUAUGGAAUGACUGGCCAAUGGGGACCUGCUUUAUAGCACAAGGAACUCUAUCCAAUAUUCUGCGAUAAUCUACAUGGGCAAAGAAUCUGAAAGAGAAUGGAUGUGUGUACAUGUAUAACUGAAUCACCUUGUUGCACAGCAGAAAUUAUCACUACAUUGUAAAUCAACCAUACUUCAAUAAAACUUUAAAGAAUGAAGAAAAUUGACAUGCAGAAAUAAUUAGCAGAAAUAGAUGCACAAACAAGAAGAACAAACUUAUGGUUACCAAAGGGAUAGUGGGGUGGGGGAAGGAUAAAUUAGGAGUUUGGGAUUAACAUAUACACAUGGCUAUAUAAAAAAUAGAUAAACAACACGGACCUACUGUAUAGCACAGGAAACUAUAUUCAAUAUGUUGUAAUAACCUAUACAGGAAAAAAAUCUGAAAAAGAAUAUGUGUAUAUGUGUGUGUGUGUGUACAAAACUUUGCUGUACACCUAAAACUAACACAAGACUAUAAAUUAACUACACUUCAAUAAAAAUUGGUUAACAAGGAAGGAAAAGAAAUGAUGUGAUUUUGCAUAUAUUGUCCACCCCCCAUUCAUCAAACUAGAUUUUAUUUCUUUGCUAACAUCUUUUUCUUGUUUCACUUCUGCUAUGACACCUAUUAUGAGUUGGUUAUUAUUCAUUCGGGCAUAAACUGAUAUGUUUCUUUUUUUUUCUCUCCUUUUUUUUUUUUUCCAUCUCAUCAUCUUCUAGGUAUACACUGAAAAGGAUCUCUUUAGCUUUAUCACCACUCUAGUAAAUUUAAUUUUUUUUCUGCUACCACGGUGAAAAAAAUACAUCUCUAAAAACUUUUCUGUGGUUUCCUUUGUGUUUAUUCUGGUUAGGAUCUGCUUUGUCUCUGUAUCUUUUAAGUUCCUUUCUCUGCAUGUUUGGUCUUUCAUGUUAGAAGUUUUUCUGACGUGAUUCCUGUCUGUUUACUCAUCCUUAGGAGGGAAAAGAGCAUGUAUACACAAACUUACAUGCUUUUGUAUGGAUGCUUAAGAUUUACUCUCUUAGCAAAUUUCAAGUAUAUGAUACAGUAUUAUUAGCUAUAGUCACCAUGCUGUAAUUAGAUCCCUAAAACUUACUUAUGUUCAAUAUUUGUUGAAUUUUUAAAAAAUGGAUAGAACUUUCUUCCAAACUUGGAAAAACAAGAGAAUAACGAGCUGUCUGUUCAUGUGUGUGGGUAUGCAUGUCUGAGGGUGCAUAUAUGUAUGUGCAUAUGUUUGUGUGUUCAUGUUUGACUAAUAAAAGCCACACCUAAAGGUUGGAAAGAAUAUUAUUCAGCCGAAUUUCCAAAGCCAAAGAUUGAUGUGGACCUGCCAACUCUAGGCCCUUAGUUCUUGUAAUUUCCUCUAAUGCUGAACUCCACUGAAUUUCUAAGCCAGUUGUAGCAGUGGCGUAAAGUAACUAGCUCAUUGGUCAGAG